AUUGAACGCUGGCGGCAGGCCUAACACAUGCAAGUCGAGCGAGCGGCGGACGGGUGAGUAAUGUCUGGGAAACUGCCUGAUGGAGGGGGAUAACUACUGGAAACCGUAGCCAAUAACGCAUACCAUCAGACGUGCCAAGAUGGGAUUGGCUAGUAGGUGGGGUAACGGCUCACCUAGGCGACGAUCCCUAGCUGGUCUGAGCGGAUGACCAGCCACAUUGGAACUCAGCCAGGGUCCAGACUCCUACGGGAGGCAGCAGUGUGGAAUAUUGCACAAUGGGCGCAAGCCUGAGGCAGCCAUGCCGGGUGUGUGACGAAGGCCUUCGGGUUGUAAAGCACUUUCAGCGGGGAGGCGUUAACCGCAGAAGAAGCACCGGCUAACUCCGUGCCAGCAGCCGCGGUAAUAC
rnacentral:rRNA from 1 species